GCCCGGGGAGGGCCGGUUCAUAGGCCUCGGGCCCCGGGAGCCCGGCUCGUACGGCGCGGGUGCCGUCGCCCGUCAUGUGCUC
rnacentral:tRNA from 1 species